rnacentral:rRNA from 1 species
AGCGAACGCUGGCGGCAGGCUUAACACAUGCAAGUCGAACGGAUCCUUCGGGAUUAGUGGCGGACGGGUGAGUAACACGUGGGAACGUGCCUUUUGGUUCGGAACAACACAGGGAAACUUGUGCUAAUACCGGAUGUGCCCUUCGGGGAAGAUUUAUCGCCAUUAGAGCGGCCCGCGUCUGAUUAGCUUGUUGGUGAGGUAAAGGCUCACCAAGGCUACGAUCAGUAGCUGGUCNGAGAGGAUGAUCAGCCACACUGGGACUGAGACACGGCCCAGACUCCUACGGGAGGCAGCAGGUGGGGAAUUUUCCGCAAUGGGCGAAAGCCUGACGGAGCAAUGCCGCGUGGAGGUAAAGGCCCACGGGUCAUAAACUUCUUUUCCAGGAGAAGAAGCAAUGACGGUAU